rnacentral:rRNA from 1 species
CAGUAGCCGCGGUAAUACGUAGGUGGCAAGCGUUGUCCGGAAUUAUUGGGCGUAAAGGGCUCGCAGGCGGUUUCUUAAGUCUGAUGUGAAAGCCCCCGGCUCAACCGGGGAGGGUCAUUGGAAACUGGGAAACUUGAGUGCAGAAGAGGAGAGUGGAAUUCCAUGUGUAGCGGUGAAAUGCGUAGAGAUGUGGAGGAACACCAGUGGCGAAGGCGACUCUCUGGUCUGUAACUGACGCUGAGGAGCGAAAGCGUGGGGAGCGAACAGGAUUAGAUACCCGUGUAGUCCCUGUCUCUUAUAC